ensembl:lncRNA
CAUUUCAGUUGCUGUUUCCCCUGUGGCUGUCCCUGUGGAAACAAAGACAGGGUGAUCAACUACUUGGGGUUCACCCAGCACCCGAGCAAAUGCUUUAAAUACAAAUCCUUGUGCUCAGGGUUACUGAGGUGUGAGAGGCUUACCCUGUGCUCCAGCAGCCCCAGGCAGCACCGAGGUGUCAGAGGCAGCAGGGAGCUAAACUCUGUGUUCAUAAACCCAAACCCUGUGUACCUGAGCCCAAACCCUGUGCUCACAAACCCAAACCCUGUGCUCACAAUCCCAAACCCUGCGUUCAUAAUCCCAAACCCUGUGUUCAGGAGCCCAAACCCUGUGCUCACAAUCCCAAACCCUGCACUCACAAUCCCAAACCCUGUGCUCACAAUCCCAAACCCUGCACUCACAAUCCCAAACCCUGUGCUCACAAUCCCAAACCCUGCACUCACAAUCCCAAACCCUGUGCUCACAAUCCCAAACCCUGCACUCACAAUCCCAAACCCUGUGCUCACAAUCCCAAACCCUGCACUCACAAUCCCAAACCCUGUGCUCACAAUCCCAAACCCUGCACUCACAAUCCCAAACCCUGUGCUCACAAUCCCAAUCCCAAAUCCUGUGCUCACAGUCCCAAACCCUGUGCUCACAAUCCCAAACCCUGCAUUCACAAUCCCAAAUUCUGUGCUCACGAGCCCAAACCCUGUGCUCACAAUCUCAAACCCUGCAUUCACAAUCCCAAAUCCUGUGUUCACAAUCCCAAACCCUGUGCUCACAAUCCCAAACCCUGCGUUCAUAAUCCCAAACCCUGUGUUCAGGAGCCCAAACCCUGUGCUCACAAUCCCAAACCCUGCGUUCAUAAUCCCAAACCCUGUGUUCAGGAGCCCAAACCCUGUGCUCACAAUCCCAAACCCUGCAUUCACAAUCCCAAAUUCUGUGCUCACGAGCCCAAACCCUGUGCUCACAAUCUCAAACCCUGCAUUCACAAUCCCAAAUCCUGUGUUCACAAUCCCAAACCCUGUGCUCACAAUCCCAAACCCUGUGCUCACAAUCCCAAACCCUGUGCUCACAAUCCCAAAUCCUGUGCUCACAAUCCCAAACCCUGUGCUCACGAGCCCUUGCAGCAUGAGCCAGCGCCCCAGGAGCACACACAACCCCACUGACAGCCAGAACCAGCUGGAAGUGGGACCACAUGAAUCUGAGUAUAAAGAAAACCUCUUCCAAACACUCUAAAACACUCUAAAAAAAUUGAAGCCUUAAAAAAAAAAAAAAAGGGGGGGGGGGGGGGGGGGGGGGGGGGGGGGGGGGGGGGGGGGGGGGGGGGGGGGGGGGGGGGGGGGGGGGGGGGGGGGGGGGGGGGGGGGGGGGGGGGGGGGGGGGGGGGGGGGGGGGGGGGGGGGGGGGGGGGGGGGGGGGGGGGGGGGGGGGGAGCCUUAAAAAAAAAAAAAAAAAAAAAAAAAAGCUGAAAAGCUGAACUUUUUGCCUUGGCCACCCUGGUUCAUCUCCUCCCUCAUUUCAUUUCCCCCCUCCUCCCUUCACUUUCUGCCACCUUCACACGGGAUUCUGCUGCCCUACUUUUGUCCAGCCUUCUCCUAGAGAUAAGAUAAACGCUAUUUUCAAUUAACAAGACUUGAUUGCUGAAAGCAAUAGGAGGCAGUUCGUUUAGAGCCAGCAAAUUAAUUGAAAUCUAAAUGUACAUAGUCAGUGUAUUGCAGGGAGAGCAAUUAUCCUGUCGUUUGGCCCCUGCCACGCAGGCAGCCGGGCUGGGCUGAGCUGUGCAGCAGGAGGAGCUCACAUUGCCCUCCUGCCUCCUGAAGUUCCUCCCUCAGCUGCUUUUAGCCCAUUUUCAUCCUGCAAGAGAAAGUUCUCCAUGGCUGUAAGUGUAAAUUAGAGCAGGAGGACGUGUCCUGGGUCUUUGGUGGGAUGCAAAGCUGUUUUCUAAACAUCAGUCAGAUGAGAUCUUCCUCCUCACUCCUGUCCUCCUUCGGGAGGGCUUGUGCUGGGUGUGAAAACGGAAUCCACCAGCUGAGUGGAUUCCCUGCCCUCUGCAGCAUUUAUCAGGAUGAUCAGGGCACAUGGUGGGAGCCGAGGCCUUGGGAAUUCAUUGUUCUUUAAACUGUGUUUACACAUGGCAUACAGCAGAGGGAAGGAGGGCAAAGCAAUCAGCCAAUAACAGAAAUGUUCCAUCGUAAGAAAGAUCUUCCAUGACUUUCAAUGCCCAAAUGCUUUUGGUCCUGCUGAGGGAGCCACUGUGGCUUCUGUGCCAGCAGGUCCCUCAGGAGCUGGGCUUGCUCCCUCACAUCUCUGAGGGGACACCUCUCAACAGUCUUAGAGUGCCUAGGGACUAGAGUAUAGAGAAAAACCUUGGGAUGUUUUCUCUCUUAAAAUGUGUGAAAAUGGAGAAACAACUCAGAAAGUGACCAAGCACUGAUCUAAGCCAUGGAGGAGCACCCAAAUGCUUUCAGGGUAACUUGCACUUUGUACAUCUCCCCUCCUUCAGAGGACUGCUCAGAGCUUCAUGACUGCCAUGGGGGAUGCACUGGGAAUGUGCAGCACCUCUGGGUCUGAGCAGGGUCAUCCCUGGCCUCACUGACACAUCCCUCAGCUCUUCAGAAACACCUCACUAAAAACCUACUGCUCCACAAUUUACAUCCCAGGGCAGGGUAGCAAACAGCCCAUCCAGCACACAAUCCACCCAGAGGUGGCCAAAAGCAGCAAUUACAAGCCAUUCUCUGCUGGAGAGCCAACAAACCCGUAUCACGUUUUCCUUGCUGCACCUCGCUGCCUCCAAGCCAACUGGCACAAAGACUCUGCUUUCCUAUUCCUGGACAAAUUAUGCUUUGAAGCUUUCCCUCCCUGCCAGGCGUGGGAGGAGCCCCACGUGUCACCCUGACAGGAUUUC